GAUCGUGUUAGGAGUGUGGGAGGAGCGAAGGUAUAGGUGGUAAAUCUGUCAUUUAUUUUAAUUAUUAUUUAUAGGUUUGUUUAGGAAAAUAAUAUGAUUUAAUUAUUUAAUGAAGAGGAAAUUGGAGUCACUCUCAAACAAUGGUGGGGGCAAUAUUGGGAGAGGUGCUUUUCAGGUACAGAAGUUGGGUCCUUUUACAGUGUCUACUCCUCUCCUUGACGGUGAUUAUGGGCCACUUCUGGACUAUAUAUUUGAUGAGAAUUUGGAUGGAGGAUUUUUAUCUCGGUGCACAUUCAGGACAUCCGUCACUUUGUCUUGUUUCUUCUUCAUGUUGGGAUAAAAGUGGUAGAAAUUUGGGAUUCUCUUCUUCACAAGGGUAAAUCCAGAGGAGCGGAAUUGGUACAACCAGUGCUAAAACAACUUGAUGAUCUGUUGGGAGACCAAAUUGCAAGCACGGGACCUGACGAGUCAUUUUCCAGCUUCACAGUUAGCACAGUGACUAAUGUACCACAACAGUCUAAUUCAUAUGACUGUGGUAUAUAUUGUGAUUAAUUGGAUGGAGCAGCGCCCUA